AAACUGCCAGAGUACGUGGGGCGUACACUCACGUACGCUAAGCGUAUUGGGUGAAUGGUGAGUGCCCUGGGGGUACCUGCACGUGUGCUCAGCGUAACCCCCCAUGUUAAGCCCUUUCCUCAUUAAGUGCUUAAUCCUCCGAUCCAAAAGCUACAAUCUUAGAUCCAAGUCCUUUUUAACAUCUUAAUCCAUUAAGUCACUGACUUGGUGACUAUGCAUGCCCUAAAUAAAUCCAAACUCCAAAAAUGACUUUCUACUUUCAUGGAAAUGGUCUUAACUCAUGCAUGAACCCAUUAAGACCUCAAAGAUGGCUACUUUACUGCUUAAGGGACCCUUUUAGCUCUGCGGGUGGCAACCCUAAGCUCACAAACGAGAUUUCAUCACAAAGAUCCAUUCUUGGGACCAAAACACUCCAAAAUCACACCACACUAGAUCUAAGCAUUCUUAAGUAAGGUUGUGAACUUUAUACCUCCAAAGGGUUCCAAAUGAUGAUGCUAUUCCAAAUCUAUAAUCUCCCACUUCCCAAGUUCCUCCUUGACGACUUCUUCUUUCCUCUUCGAAGCUUAAAACCACCAAGAUGAGCUUCCCAAGGUCAUGAUUUCACAAGAAUGAAGGGAUGAGGCGUUCUAGCGUUUCUAUGAGGUUGGGGAGGUUGAUAAGAAGGAUAGGGUUUGAGCCAUUAUGUUCUUUAUAUGGUGGCUCACCCUAAAAUUAGGGUUUUUUGUCACUGGAUGUACGCUGGGCGUACGUCUAAGGCACCCGCGAUCAUUUCCUUUGUACACUGGGCAUAACCCAAACUUACGUUGGGCGUAGCCAGAUAAACACACGUGUGCACUUCAUGCAUGCAAGGGACUGCCUUGGCAACUUUUCCAUUAAGGGACCAUAAAUGUUAACAACUUCAAAAUGCUAUAAAUCCUUUAUUCUAUGUCCAUUUUCGACGAACUUUAUAUCCACAAAAAGGUGUUGAGAAGACUUACGCUUCUAGCGACACACCCCGACCCAAAAUAUCUCGAAUAAAACUCCGAAACCAUGAAAGACCAAAACGCCCCUAGCCUUGGCCUAUGAAAUCCAUAAAUGAUUUGUUUCAGAACAGGGUGUUACAACUCUCCCCCACUUAAAUUAAACUUCGUCCUUGAAGUCUUUCCUUACUAACACCCAUCUCCCCAUCAACUGAUCUGCGAAACGCAACCAAUGACUCUACGCGCGAAACAACAUUCCCAAGACAUUGAAAGCCAUCUCGGUCUUUCAUUCUGAAGAAGAUGAAAUUUAACUUCCACAAACCCCAAGCUACUUCGCACACAGGAACCAUUAUGAUAGACACUCUUGCACGAACGUCAUGUUGCCACUUGCCUUCUCUCCGAAAGAGUUGGGACCUCUCAAGUCCAAACCUUUCUGUUCACCAUCCCGAAUACCGGAUUUCCUCUGGUUACUGAACCCAAGAUCAAACUCUCAAUUGCUCCUAGCAACCUCCGAAGAAACUUCGACUAUCUAAAACUGCUCUAUCUACCUCGCCAAUCUGGCUCCCUGAAUCCUGGGAUCCUCGAUCCCCCUAAAUUAACACUAAGGCCUCUAGCAGGUCCCACCUGCGCUGCUAAAAUAUUACGGGCCUCACCCACGGGUCUCACCCAAACUAUAUCUUAGAGCGGCCUCUCCCUCAAGUCUCACUUGUCUUGCUACUAUCGCAAGGGCCUCGCCCACGGGUCCCACCCAAACCAUACUGCUGAGUGACCCUACCCCUAGUCUCACCUAUCUAGGGCUACACGGGUCCUAAACCAUCCUGAAUCCUCCAAAAACUAUCCUUUCUCAAUCUCUAUCCGACUAACUAGGAGAUACGAGCCUCGCCCAUACUCCGCUAUCUAGGAGAUCCAGGCCCCCGCCCAUACUCUUCCAACUACUGGCAACCAGCCAGAAAACAUUUAACAACAAGUUCUCCACAGUCUAACAUCCUGAUUAACUCGCAUGCUACCGGGAAAACAUCAUCCUGGUUUCCUAAACCAGUCCUCUACUACUACGAAUACAUGAAUUCAAUGUCAGGAUGUUUCUCAAACUCCUGAGUCCUCAUUCCUCUAUCAAAAAUCGCUACCACGACUGCAUUCCUUCUUAGCCAGGAGGCGAACGCAUCCAAGUUGCGCUCCUACCCCAGCGCCUGACUACUGGGAUAAUACUCCCCCACUUCGAUUCAACUAGAUGCUUACAUGUUCUAGCUUGGGAAAGGAUUCCAAUCCUUUUCUCCAUCCAAAGGUCGAUCUGCUACCAACCACGCUUACCACUGCUGGAGCUCCAAAACUAACCAAUACCAAACCCGAACCGCUCUUGUAGACAAACAAGACACUUCCCGAGUGCACCUCACACUUGCUACAUCGAUUGCGUCCCGAAAACCAGCCCAAAGGGGGGGGGGGGUAAUGCUAUGAACUACCGCACAAAAAUCCAUGGUAUGCGGAUGGCAUAUGAUCCAAACACGAACAUAAAUAGAAUUCUAACAUGCAUUCGCUAACAUAGAUGUAGUACCAUACCAAUAUGAUCAUGAAUAAAAACUGAAAGGAAAGCAAAAGAUACAUACCUGCAACGUCCGGUGCUGCUCGCGCCUCCACUGUAGACGACUAAAAAGCCCUACUCCCCACUGUUGGCGCCUCCGCUUGGCCCUGACGGCCGUCGGUGAUCCUCGAGGUUGCAGGGGCAGGUGCCAUCACCUGUCCUGUUGGAAGCAAACUCAGACACUAGGCCUUCUUGUGGCCCCUCUUCCUACAAUGGAAACAUAUCAGGUCUGAUCCCUGAGUGGUGGUAGCAGUAUAAUACCUGCUGAAAUGACAAGUCUAGCCGCACAUAAAGCAUCCAAAAUCACCACCACUACCACUCCUGCACGCACCCUUAUGUGUCCUGCCACAACGAUUGUGGCUCUGAUGUCCAACCCCUAGGGUCUCUUGCCUGAACCUGUGGAUACCUGAACCUCCUCCAGCUUCCUCUUCUUGAGGUGCUCCAGAUCGAUAUCCCUCUCCCUGGCCUGAUCAAUCAUAUCCUCUAGUAUCUUACAACUGGACCUGUUCACAAACUCCCUGACGUCACUCCUCAGCAUCUCCUGAUAUCGGACCUUCUUCAUCUCCUCGUCCGCGACAUACUGCGAAACAAGAAGAGUCCUCUCCCUGAACUUGGCGGUGAUCUCCUCCACUGUCUCUGUAGUCUGCCACAAAUCCUGAAACUCUCGUGCUAACUGUUGCACCUCAAUCCCUGGAGCAACUCGGCCCUGAACCUGGUAGGGAAAUAACUCCAUGUCAUCACGUCCAACGCGGCAUCAUCCCCAAUGGCAUCACCAACCUCCUCCCACCAAUCCCGCGCUCUAUCCUUCAGAAGGCAGGAGGCAAGUCGGACCUUGUCCCCCUUGGGACACCGGCUCGUACAGAAAGCAUUGGUGACAUCAGCCAACCACCUGUUGCUAGAAAUGGGGCCCUGGCCCCAUGAUAAUCCGGAGCUCCACAAGCCCUAAACUCUCGGAAUGUCAGUGUACGUUCCCCCAUCAUAGCCACCAUCUCAGCGCGGAAGGCUCCCAACCCCUCAUCCAAUAUUUCUAGUAUUCUAUCUUUGACCGUACCAAAGAUCACAGGAUUCUGGUCUAGAAUACUUCGGGUAAUCUCAGCUGAUAUAAACUCCCUCAUCUGCUCCCCGAGCUGAUCAGCUCCAGAACCCGAGCCUGAUCCCUCACCUACGGCUGAUCCACCCAUUGGCCUACCUCGUAGCGUCACCAUGCUAAAAACAUGCCAUAACAACCAUCAGAAUACACAUUACUACUAAGGGAUCCCACAUGCUCAACAAUUUCCCUGGUUUUAUUCAUCCCUUCUUGAAUCGAGUACAGAUCCUCUGAUUUCACUAGUAUGGGCCCCUACUACCUUCCACAUCUAUCCGUACUUUCCUCAAGAAUUGCCUCGACUACACCAAGUCCCUUUCACUGCUACUAACACUGCUCCCAACAUUACUCUCAUCCUAGGCUUGCCCAAGGGUAACCUCCAACCUGCACCUAAUUCUCAACUACUGAAGGUAUCUUUAUAAUGCCAAUUAGCCACUACCUGAAUACCAUCAUAUGUGAUGAGGCUCAGAUAAUCCUUCGAGUAAAGGACCCCUACCUACAACGGUUGGAACCAGACAAGAGUUGUGCAAUAGGGCCAAAUCCAGCACUCUGAGAUUAUUCAACCCUGGUCGCAUGUGACUUGAUGCAUUCACCUAAUGGCUAAUUCCCAUCUCUCAGAGUCCCACAAAGCAUAAAGCAAGUAGCAUUUCAGACAAAAAAGGAAAUCUAACCAGAACAUAAUCAAGCAAUUCUAUCCCUACCACAAGAAUCUGUACUAGCAUGCGUUGCUAAGCUCAUACAAUCAGGCAUAAUCUAAACAGGCUAUCCAAUCGUUGUCUAACCGAUACUAGCAUGUAGUUCACAAACACAUAUAACAGGCCUAUAAGGCAUCCUCCUAGAUCCUUAGCCCUAAAUGUAGCAUGUUGAUCACAUAAUCAUAUCGUAACAUAAACUUGUAUGGGUAAUUUGGGAGAACUUACUUGAGCUCGGCUGAUUGCAUGCACCACACCCGUUUUCUCUUUUCAACUCUUUUCUUUUCUCAGAAAGUGUUUUUAUAAAAAUGAUUUUCUUUUGAAAAUUUUUAUACCAUGCCCUCAGUUUGAUUUCAGUCACACCUGAGGGUAUGCCCGAAUCCCUCAAACCAAGUCUCUGAACCAACUUGCAACGACCCAAAAAUCAUGACAAAAGAUUUCGUUUUUAAUUAAUAAUAAAACCACAAGUGUCAACCAUUCAUUCAAAGCAUAUCACAACAGAGUAUCAAGUCUAAAAAAUUAUUUUAUUUUAUCAAAGUAAACAUCCCAGGCUAAAACUCCUUUGGUGUGUGUGCCAUGUGAUCACCCCGAGCUCUUCCCUCCACUAUCGGAAGUACCUGAAACAAAAACUAAAAACCGUAAGCACGAAGCUUAGUGAGUUCCCCAACCUACCACAUAUCACAUACAUAACCACAUACUGGGCCCCCACCCGCUGCAUCGGGACGUGCCUGACAUCGGACUAGCUCCGGCAUUAGGCCCCGCCUGGCAUUGAGCCCCGCUCGGUAUACAUAUCUGUUUCUCUUAGCCCCCCCUGUCUUUGGGCCUCACCCGCUAAACAUAUACAACAUAUAACAUAACACAUAACACGUAAGCUAAACACACUCUAAUGUAUUCCUGUACUAAGGCCUCACAUAUCUUGGGCCCCACCCCUGUCCUACUACUAGGUAGCCAUGGAACCUUGUCCAUGAUCAUGCUGAUAGUGAGAUACAGGCCCCCCGCGCCACACUCACCUCUCUCUUAUCUUCGGCCUCGCCCCUGCUCUGCUACUAAUGAGAUAUGAAACCCCGUCCAUACUCUGCUAGUGAUGAGAUACAGGAACUCGCCCACACUCACCUCCCUACCAGGCAUAUACAAGUAUCACACAAACAACAAGUAUAAACUAUCAUACAAGCAUUCCUUGGGCACCCGCCCGACAUCGGACCUUGAUCCGGAAUCACAUACUAACAUAUGGUGCCUAGGGUUAACCCCUAGGUUUUCUUACUCGUAAACUACAUGGGCCCACAUUGUAGCCGUAGAACCAUUCACACAAUGAGGAGACUCACCUUGCACUGUUGAAACCUUGCUGGUAUCCCUCUAGCUGCUAUCUGCCAAUUCCCGAAUUGCUGCUCCUUCGACUCCCCGAGCUACCAGCACCAAAUAUCACUUAGUCCAAUAUAAUAAUCCUUCUUAGGUUAAAAUAACCAUUCUACCCCUAGUCUAACUUGGUCCAUAUCUACGGCCCAAAACUAAGGCCAAAUACUAAGUAAGCUUUACUUGCCCACUAGUGGCCCAAUAAUGGCCCACUUUGUUAAAUCGAGCCCAAUUCCUCUAAUGCGCCUUACCCUAAGCCCAAACAUCUUCAUGUCCCACAUAUUCUGACUUCUGUUGGCCUACUAAAGCCUAAAGUCCAAUGCAAGGCCCAAUCUGAGGCCCAAUACCUCGAAGCCCAAACUGCCAGUGUACGUGGGGCGUACGCUCACGUACGCUAAGCGUACUGGGUGAAUGGUGAGUGCGUUGGGGGUACCUGAACGUGCGCUCAGCGUAACCCCCCAUGUUAAGCCCUUUCCUCAUGAAGUGCUUAAUACUCCAAUCUAGAAGCUACAAUCUUAGAUCCAAGUCCUUUUUAACAUCUUAAUACAUACUUUGCAUGCCCCAAAUAAUACCAAACUCCAAAAAUGACUUUCUAAUUUCAUGGAAAUAGUCUUAACUCAUGCAUGAAACCAUUAAGACCUCAACGAUGGCAACUUUACUACUUAAGGGACCCUUUUAGCUCUAAGGGUAACAACCCGAAGCUCAGAAACGAGAUUUCAUCACAAAGAUCCAUUCUUGGGACCAAAAUACUACAAAAUCACACCACACUAGAUCUAAGCAUUCUUAAGUAAAGUUGUGAACUUUAUACCUCCAAAGGGUUCCAAAU
rnacentral:lncRNA from 1 species